rnacentral:snoRNA from 1 species
UGGAUCAGUGAUGACUGCUGGUGGUGUGUGAGUCGUGUACGAUGAAUACGUGUCUGCAACUCUGAGUCCAG